GCAGGAGACACGAUACUCUUCGGCUGAGAAACAAAUUUUCCCUGAUUUCCCAUCCACUUUCUCGAAGGCCAAACAGAGAGAACGAAGGAAAAAACUCAACUAGAAAAAUUGUUGGCGAUGAAGAAGCUAGCGAGACAAUUGAGGAAGUCACAGGACGAUGACUUCUCUCUCCCUACUUGGGACGACCCUACUCUCAACGAUUCUCGUCCCCUAGACAUUCAAGAACAAGAAGAGUUGGUGCGUUCAUUCGAGAAGAGUCAAGCUCAGCAGAGUCGUUUCUGGAGGCUUUUGUUUGCAUCACUUCUCUUUUGCUUCUCUGCGUUUCUGUUAUACUCGAUCUUCCAGCAGGUUUUGUCUCCAUGGGAAUUGCGUUAUCAUGCUUACUUCAUGGAGGAGGUGCACUCAUGGAUGAUUAUAUCAGCAGAUUGGCUAGCUGUUUUAGCAUGUUCAUCAGCCAUCAUAGGAUUACUUCAUGAUUCAAAGCAUCACCGGCGAUGGAUUUGGUACUCGCUAUUUACUGGCAUUAUACUCGCAGUUUUCUGGUUGUAUUACAUGUUGAGAUUGCCAAGGUUCCGCUGGGAUGUAAUCUGGCUUCCAUUUGGACCUCUAAGUGGAGCAGGACUCACUCUGUAUGUCGAUCAUCUACUAAUUGAGUCAUCAGAAGAAAUAAGAAAACUUCGAGGCUACAUGUAUGCUUACAAAGCUAGCUGAAUCUCGUAUUUGUUUAUCUUUGACAUUGAUCCGAGAUAGAUAGCACAGGGACUAGACUAAAAGUGUGACUCUGGUACGAGGCAGCUCGUAUGAGCUGCGUUAAUCGCAUGGAAAAAUCCUUGUUAAACUCUAAGGCUUUCUGUAUUGGGGAUUUGCAAGCUUCAUGUCAGAGGCUUCAUAUCUGCACAAAGAGUAUCAUAAAAGACCAAAAGAAAAAUAAGUUGAGCGAAUUUUAUUUAUACUUUAUGUAAUAUUUAUGAACAGACCUUUUGAGGAACGGUAUUGUUUUCCUAACAAGAGAUGUUACUACAACCAUGUUAGUCGCGGAGGGCUGGACGAAAUGUUUUUCACAACUUUUAGCGCUGGUUUUCUGUACUGCUGCCUUUGUUGCUUUUUGAAACGUUCUAAACAAAUAUGGAUACUUUGGUA